GGCUCAAGUAACACGUGGCCAAACUACCCUUCGGAACACAAUACCCUCGGGAAACUGAGGCUAAUAGUGUAUAUCGUACCACCACUGGAAUGAGUGGUACGCCAAACGCUCCGGCGCCGAAGGAUGUGGCUGCGGCCGAUUAGGUAGACGGUGGGGUAACGGCCCACCGUGCCAAUAAUCGGUAUGGGUCAUGAGAGUGAGAACCCAGAGACGGAAUCUGAGACAAGAUUCCGGGCCCUACGGGGCGCAGCAGGCGCGAAACCUUUACACUGCACGACAGUGCGAUAGGGGGAUCCCAAGUGCACAGGCAUAGCGCCUGUGCUUUUCGGCACCCUAAGGCGGUGCCAGAAUAAGGGCUGGGCAAGACCGGUGCCAGCCGCCGCGGUAAUACCGGCAGCCCAAGUGAUGGCCGAUCUUAUUGGGCCUAAAGCGUCCGUAGCUGGCCGCGCAAGUCCAUCGGGAAAUCCACCUGCUCAACAGGUGGGCGCCCGGUAGAAACUGCGUGGCUUGGGACCGGAAGGCGCGACGGGUACGUCCGGGGUAGGAGUGAAAUCCCGUAAUCCUGGACGGACCGCCGAUGGCGAAAGCACGUCGCGAGAACGGAUCCGACAGUGAGGGACGAAAGCCAGGGUCUCGAACCGGAUUAGAUACCCGGGUAGUCCUGGCCGUAAACAAUGUCUGCUAGGUGUGGCUCCCACUACGAGUGGGUGCUGUGCCGUAGGGAAGCCGCUAAGCAGACCGCCUGGGAAGUACGUCCGCAAGGAUGAAACUUAAAGGAAUUGGCGGGGGAGCACUACAACCGGAGGAGCCUGCGGUUUAAUUGGACUCAACGCCGGACAUCUCACCAGCAUCGACUGUAAUAAUGACGAUCAGGUUGAUGACCUUAUCCGAGUUUCAGAGAGGAGGUGCAUGGCCGCCGUCAGCUCGUACCGUGAGGCGUCCUGUUAAGUCAGGCAACGAGCGAGACCCGCACCCUUACUUGCCAGCAGUACCGCGAGGUAGCUGGGGACAGUAGGGGGACCGCCGUGGCUAACACGGAGGAAGGAACGGGCAACGGUAGGUCAGUAUGCCCCGAAUGUGCUGGGCAACACGCGGGCUACAAUGGUCGAGACAAAGGGUUCCUACUCCGAAAGGAGACGGUAAUCUCAGAAACUCGAUCGUAGUUCGGAUUGUGGGCUGCAACUCGCCCACAUGAAGCUGGAUUCGGUAGUAAUCGCGUGUCACAAGCGCGCGGUGAAUACGUCCCUGCUCCUUGCUACCA
rnacentral:rRNA from 1 species